UACAGAGGUGGCAAGCGUUGUUCGGAAUUACUGGGCGUAAAGGGCGCGUAGGCGGUCUUGCAAGUCCUGUGUGAAAUCCCUCGGCUCAACUGAGGAACUGCACAGGAAACUGCUUGGCUUGAGUGCCGGAGAGGGUGGCGGAAUUCCCCAAGUAGAGGUGAAAUUCGUAGAUAUGGGGAGGAACACCGGUGGCGAAGGCGGCCACCUGGACGGUAACUGACGCUGAGACGCGAAGCGUGGGGAGCAAACAGGG
rnacentral:rRNA from 1 species